UACGAGGGGGGCAAGCGUUGUUCGGAAUUAUUGGGCGUAAAGGGUGCGUAGGCGGUUUGGUAAGUCUGAUGUGAAAUCUAUGGGCUCAACUCAUAGUCUGCAUCGGAAACUGCCGGGCUUGAGUGUGGGAGAGGUGAGUGGAAUUCCUGGUGUAGCGGUGAAAUGCGUAGAUAUCAGGAGGAACACCUGUGGCGAAAGCGGCUCACUGGACCAUAACUGACGCUGAUGCACGAAAGCUAGGGGAGCAAACGGG
rnacentral:rRNA from 1 species